rnacentral:misc_RNA from 1 species
CAGAGUUCAUGCCCCUUACGGGUAGUUCUCCCACCCUAUGUUAUCAUUACCUUUGUUGCUUUGGCGGGCCGCCAGGCCCUGGUCAGGCUACCGGCUCCGGCUGGUAAGCGCCCGCCAGAGGACCCCAAACGCUGAAUGUUAGUGUUGUCUGAGUAUUAUAUAAUAGUUA